rnacentral:rRNA from 1 species
CGGGGUGCACCAGGCGCGAAAACUCCACAAUGCGCGAAAGCGUGAUGGGGUUAACCCGAGUGCCGUCCGAUGAGGAUGGCUUUUCUUCAGUUUAAGGAUCUGGAGGAAUAAAGGGGGGGCAAGACUGGUGUCAGCCGCCGCGGUAAUACCAGCCCCCUGAGUGGUAGGGACGAUUAUUUGGCCUAAAGCGUCCGUAGCCUGUUUGGGAAGUCUUUCGUUAAAUCCGACGAUUCCAUCGUUGGGACGCGGAAGAUACUGCCAGACUUGAGGACGGGAGAGGUCGACGGUAGUCCUAGGGUAGGGGUGAAAUCCUAUAAUCCUAGGAGGACCACCAGUGGCGAAGGCGGUCGACUAGAACGUGCCUGACGGUGAUGGACGAAAGCUGGGGGAGCGAACCGGAUUAGACACCCGGGUAGUCCCAGCUGUAAACGAUGCGAGCUAGGUGUUGGAGCAACUACGAGUUGCUCCAGUGCCGCAGAGAAGUUGUUAAGCUCGCCGCCUGGGAAGUACGGCCGCAAGGCUGAAACUUAAAGGAAUUGGCGGGGGAGCACAAGGGCGAUUGCGG